rnacentral:rRNA from 1 species
CGUGUAGGCGGGAAGGAAAGUCAGAUGUGAAAUCCCCAGGCUCAACCUGGGAACUGCAUUUGAAACUCCCUUUCUUGAGUACCGGAGAGGAAAGUGGAAUUCCUGGUGUAGAGGUGAAAUUCGUAGAUAUCAGGAGGAACACCAGUGGCGAAGGCGGCUUUCUGGACGGUAACUGACGCUGAGACGCGAAAGCGUGGGGGAGAAACA